CCGUCUUUGCCUUCGUCGCGCGCGGCCAUCUCUGGUGUCACGUGGCCAAAACAGAAGGAAACGGACCAAUCAGAGGUCGGGAAAUGUCUCCAUGCUGCAUUCACUGUCUCCAGGACACGCUCUCUGCUUGUCGGAUGGUGGAACAGCUUCAGAAAACCCUCCCCUGCCUUUUACACGUGGUCCGAGCAUUUUUGUAACUUCACACAGUGACUGUUCAACUGUAGGAAGGUGGAAAAGGAACCAGAGUUUGAACUUCUUCUCCUUCUGUGGGCCCGAACUCAUUUAAGGUGGACUGAGAUGAAGUGGAACUGUCCUGCUGUCGGUAUGACAAGUCUACAUUUGGAAAUCAUGGAUGCCGCGUCCUCCGGCCUAAAGAAGAGAGGGACCAUCCAACUUGUGAACGAUAUAUACAGGUUUUGGUACUCAGCACUGUGAAUGCCUCAAAUGGCCUCCAUAUCUGAACAAUUGAACUUCUUGCAGAUUCAAACCACCUCCUCCACCGGACUGCUGCUCUUCAAUCGGGUCUAACCUGGAUGAUGCCGGCGACGGGAUUGUUGCAUAGCAACCGUCUGCUCAGCACCGACAGUGGUCCUCCUGUUUAGAACUUGGAAACCUCAAAAGAUGUCAUUAUGUGGGCAGAGUCGCCCACAUGGGUCAGUGUCAGCCAAGAGCCAAGAGGUGGUGUUAAUGUGGGGACACACUCAGUGUACCAGGCUGUAAACAUGUUUAUUUCUGCUGUGAAGUUGGACAUUUGGACAUGGGGACUUAUGGAGACUGACUCACUUCUGGAGCCAGCCUCAGGUGGACGUUAGAGGAACUGCAGUUUUUGGUACUUCUACGUUGGCUUUAUUUCACAGCCACGGACAUUGCCGUUUGGUGACAAGUCAAAAAGUCAGUUAGCCAAUCAACAAACGUCUCUAUCUUAAAAAACAGAAAGAGAUUGGCAAUGACAUUUAUUUUCAUUUUAAAAAACACAUAACUUCCUCUUUAAUUUGAUACUAAACAUGUGGCAUAUGUAGCUUUUUAAACCAGGUUGAUAUUUAACACUUAUCAACACAAAAUAAAACUGCUGUAAA